AGUAAGGGAACGAACAGUUGACGCCCGGAGUUCUUGUAGCAUGGUGAGAGUUAGCUCUAUGGGAAAAAAAUACACAAGAGAGGGAAAACACCAGGAAAGAUAUAGAAGAAAAGUUAGAAGGAAGACAUCAAGAGAGGUACAGAAGGGAUAUGAGGAACCCUAUAAAAGGUAAGGGCUGAUCCCCCACAGUCCUGGCAUCCUUCAAUGAUGAAAAAUGAAAUGGAAGUAUAAGCCAAAUAAACCCUUUCUUCCCCAA